GAAACUAAACAGGAUCCCCAUAGUAAUGGCGAAUGAACAGGGAUGAGCUCAGCAUGGAAAUUGGGGCCUGUGGCUUUGACUUGUAAUCUUGUGAGGCAUUGCCAACAGAGGCGCAGAUGUAAGUCUCUUGGAAAAGAGCAUCAAUGAGGGUGAGAGUCCUGCUUGUCAUUUGCAGCCCCCCUGUGCACGGUGUGCCUUCUAAGAGUCACGUUCCUCGGGAUUGGAGCGCAAAGUGGGUGGUAACUUUCAUCUGAAGCUAAACAAUGGUUUGGGACCGAUAGGAAACAAGUACCAUGAGGGAAAGGUGAAAAGGACUUUGGAAAGAGAGUUAAAAGUGCCUGAAAUUGCUGAAGGGGAAGCGAAUGGAACCAGUGGUGCUGGGUGAGAUUGUCACAUGCUCCAGGGAUUGGUUGCUGCAUCAGCGCAAGCGAUCUGGCAAUUGUUGAACUGCACGUGUGUGGUGUGUCUUGCCUUGUGUGUCAUUGUGGGUUUAUGCAUUAAGACAAUUCAAAGUGCAUGGCAAUAUGUUUCUGAAUCUAUGAAUGUGAUUUGUUAUGUUUAUGCAUAAGCUUCUUGCUGUCUGUCUGGCUGCAGAGCUCGCCGUCCCCAUUUUUUGGAGAGAUGAGUUGAGCA
rnacentral:rRNA from 1 species